GACGAACGCUGGCGGCGUGCCUAAUACAUGCAAGUAGAACGCUGAAGGAGGAGCUUGCUUCUCUGGAUGAGUUGCGAACGGGUGAGUAACGCGUAGGUAACCUGCCUGGUAGCGGGGGAUAACUAUUGGAAACGAUAGCUAAUACCGCAUAAUAGUAGAUGUUGCAUGACAUUUGCUUAAAAGGUGCAAUUGCAUCACUACCAGAUGGACAUGCGUUGUAUUAGCUAGUUGGUGGGGUAACGGCUCACCAAGGCGACGAUACAUAGCCGGCCUGGGAGGGUGGUCGGCCACAAUGGGACUGGGACACGGCCCAGACUCCUACGGGAGGCAGCAGGAGGGAAACUUCGGCAAUGGACGGAAGUCUGACCGAGCAACGCCGCGUGAGGGAAGAAGGGUUUCGGAUCGUAAAGCUCUGUUGUAAGAGAAGAACGAGUGUGAGAGUGGAAAGUUCACACUGUGACGGUAUCUGACCAGAAAGCGACGGCUAACUACGUG
rnacentral:rRNA from 1 species